UACGGAAGGGGCGAGCGUUGUUCGGAAUCAUUGGGCGUAAAGAGUGCGUAGGCGGUUUUCUAAGUUUGGUGUGAAAUCUCCCGGCUCAACUGGGAGGGUGCGCCGAAGACUGGAAGGCUUGAGUAUGGGAGAGGUAAGCGGAAUUCCUGGUGUAGCGGUGAAAUGCGUAGAUAUCAGGAGGAACACCUGCGGUGUAGACGGCUUACUGGACCAUAACUGACGCUGAGGCACGAAAGCGUGGGUAGCAAACAGG
rnacentral:rRNA from 1 species